AUUGUUUCAAUGUUUGUGUCAAUAUCAAAUGAAUUAUACAAAAUUCGUUUCAAAAGAUAUGGAGGAUAUGAGUUUUCAUAAAAAACGGAAUAUUAAGCUCCAUGUCUCGAAACCAAUAGUACUUCAUAUAAAAGAGCUCAGACUCAAGCGACCUCUAUUUUCUCAUUAUCACGUGAGUGCUUUUGAAAAUAUUAAGGUAUAUUCUGAACCAGGCAGUUAAUGAUAGGAGAAUGGGAGGGUAUGUUGAGAAAAACAAAUUUCAAUUUAAAUUAAUUUUAAUCCUGUAUUUACAUAUAUAAUAUACACCUUCUGUAUAAA